rnacentral:rRNA from 1 species
CGCGUAGGCGGUUUGAUAAGUGGGAUGUGAAAGCCCCGGGCUUAACCUGGGAACUGCAUUCCAAACUGUCAGACUAGAGUAUGGUAGAGGGUGGUAGAAUUUCCUGUGUAGCGGUGAAAUGCGUAGAUAUAGGAAGGAAUACCGAUGGCGAAGGCAGCCACCUGGACCAAUACUGACGCUGAGGUGCGAAAGCGUGGGGAGCAAACA